rnacentral:rRNA from 1 species
UACAGAGGUCUCAAGCGUUGUUCGGAUUCAUUGGGCGUAAAGGGUGCGUAGGCGGCGCGGUAAGUCGGGUGUGAAAUCUCGGAGCUUUAACUCCGAAACUGCAUUCGAUACUGCCGUGCUUGAGGACUGGAGAGGAGACUGGGAAUUUACGGUGUAGCGGUGAAAUGCGUAGAUAUCGUAAGGAAGACCAGUGGCGAAGGCGGGUCUCUGGACAGUU